rnacentral:rRNA from 1 species
UUUUUAUGAGAGUUUGAUCCUGGCUCAGGACGAACGCUGGCGGCGUGCCUAAUACAUGCAAGUCGUACGCUUCUUUUUCCACCGGAGCUUGCUCCACCGGAAAAAGAAGAGUGGCGAACGGGUGAGUA